GUACUGCAUCAGGAACUGAUCGG
rnacentral:miRNA from 1 species